rnacentral:rRNA from 1 species
UGGGCGUAAAGCGCGCGUAGGUGGAUUGAUAAGCCCGUUGUGAAGCCCCGGGCUCAACCUGGGAACGGCAUCCGGGAACUGUCAAGCUAGAGUGCAGGAGAGGAAGGUAGAAUUCCCGGUGUAGCGGUGAAAUGCGUAGAGAUCGGGAGGAAUACCAGUGGCGAAGGCGGCCUUCUGGACUGACACUGACACUGAGGUGCGAAAGCGUGGGUAGCAAACAGGAUUAGAUACCCUGGUAGUCCACGCCGUAAACGAUGUCGACCAGCCGUUGGGUGCCUAGCGCACUUUGUGGCGAAGUUAACGCGAUAAGUCGACCGCCUGGGGAGUACGGCCGCAAGGUUAAAACUCAAAUGAAUUGACGGGGGCCCGCACAAGCGGUGGAGCAUGUGGUUUAAUUCGAUGCAACGCGAAGAACCUUACCUACUCUUGACAUCCUGCGAAUUUGGUAGAGAUACCUUAGUGCCUUCGGGAACGCAGAGACAGGUGCUGCAUGGCUGUCGUCAGCUCGUGUUGUGAAAUGUUGGGUUAAGUCCCGUAACGAGCGCAACCCUUGUCCUUAUUUGCCAGCGCGUAAUGGCGGGAACUCUAAGGAGACUGCCGGUGACAAACCGGAGGAAGGUGGGGACGACGUCAAGUCAUCAUGGCCCUUACGAGUAGGGCUACACACGUGCUACAAUGGUCGGUACAAAGGGUUGCCAACUCGCGAGAGUGAGCCAAUCCCGAAAAGCCGAUCUCAGUCCGGAUCGGAGUCUGCAACUCGACUCCGUGAAGUCGGAAUCGCUAGUAAUCGUGGAUCAGAAUGCCACGGUGAAUACGUUCCCGGGCCUUGUACACACCGCCCGUCACACCAUGGGAGUGGACUGCACCAGAAGUGGUUAGCCUAACGCAAGAGGGCG